AAACGCAUAGCUCAGCUAGAUAGAGCAUCCCGAUUUUCAAUCGGGACGGUCGAAGGUUCUAAUCCUUCUGCGUUCAC
rnacentral:tRNA from 2 species